UCUUUAUGUUGUCUUGAAUUUCUUUCAUCAGCAUUCCAUAUAGUUUUCAGAGUACAAGUUUCUCACCUCUUUGUUUAGGUCUAUUCCUAAAUAUCUUAGUAUUUUUGGUACACUUAUAAAUGGGAGUGUUCUCUUAAUUUCUCUUUCUGUUGCUUCAUUAUUGGGAUAUAGAAAUGCAACAAAUUUCUUAUUAGUAACAUAUUAAUGUA